rnacentral:lncRNA from 1 species
CAUUGAUUUUAACUGCUCUAUCUUGCAAGUUACAAGUUCUGAGACCCCAUUUUCAAACCUCUCUUCCACUUUGUUUUUUUUUGCUUUGCUUGAAGGCAAGCAAAGACUAAGUUUGGGAGAGUUGAUAAGUCUGUAUUUCAUCAUUUUUUGAGCAUGUAUUCAUCAUCUUUUUAGCAUUAUUGACUUGUUGAUUCGCAUCAUAUUGAUCACUUUCUGCAUGUUUUGCAUACUUAGGUAGGUUUUGUGCAUAUCAUGCAUGUAUUGCAUAUUGGAGUGUUUCAGGUACUAAGCAGACAUGCAACACAACGUAGAGGAACAAGUAUCACUCGACAUGCACACGAUCGAGUAGGAUGAUCGAGUAAGCAGCAGAGAUACAUUGCAAAUACAUCGACGAUCGAUUGAGCAGGAGGCGUACAAGUUCGAGUAGCAGAUCGAGUGAGUAGAAGGGACGCAAAGCAGAAUCACCUGUCACUCGAUGCAUAGACUUGAGUGACACGGUCGAGCAAAGCAAAGGAGUAGCAGAUGAUUUCACAGAUCACUCGACACGCUCACUCGAGAUACAUGGUUGAGUAAGCUGUAAUGAUGCAGAGAAGAAAUUAUGUGUUACUCGACACGCUCACUCGACCAACAAGGUCAGUACAACUUUUAAACCGCUUUUUACUUUGUCGUUUUAUGUUUAAAAUUUUUUCCAAACAUUGGUAUAAAUAGGUCUCUUUUCGCAUUGCCCAGGGGAUCGAGUUUUUAUCUUUAGGUUUUUUAUGUUAGCCACAAAACAAUCCAGAAAAUUGUAGUUCAGAUAUCUUUUAAGUUAUUAAGAUUUUGCACUUAGUUCUUGGAUCAUUAUUGUUAAUCUUCCUAUCAUCUUUAUUACUAUGCAUGUUUUGUAGAAUUCUUGGUUUAUGAUGUUUAACAUGAUUUUUGUGUCUCAGUAGUGUUAGGGUUCUUGAGGAUGAUAUAGAUUAGGUGGAGAAUGUUAGUUUACUAGAGUGUUUAAGUUAGAUUCGUUUGUUCCCUUCUGGAUUAGAGUAUUCAUAGCUAAUUCUUCUCUGAUCAAGUGGAAUUAGAUCCCAGACAUUUCAGGACCUACCAUGUGUUCGAUGAAAUGUCUGAACAACUAAUACAAGAGAAAUACUUGCUUAGCCUAAGAGAUUAUGUGUCUAAGAAGUUUAUUUACAUUAAUGAACUGUUUUUUCAUGCCUGUUUACUGCAUGUUUCAUCAAAGAGAUUUGAGAUUAGGAAGUGCUGUAAAAAUGAUAGUUUAUGCCAAGAGAUUGGAUUAACUAGUAUUUGAUGUUCAUUGUCUAGGGAUUAGUAUAUUUGUCGUUUGUUAAACACUCUAAGUAGAUUAGCAUACUCCACCUACAUCAAUUACCUCAUCCUUAGGAUCUUCUAUCCAUUUGUGAUUUCUGUUUUAUUCACUUGCUAUUUACUUAUUCUAUUCUGUCUUCUUGCUAGUAUUGAUAAUCAUUACGUUUUAGCUUAUGCAUGAUAGCCAAUAUUUUGCAGCCUUACAUUUAUCGCAUGUUUAACAUGUUCGCUUAGGAUCAUUGAAAACCAAAAUCAUUUAUACUUUGCUUGCCUUAAUUAUUUCUGAUAUAUCUUGAUUGCUAGCAUCACACCUGAUUGGACUGAUACCUAUUGUACUGCAAUGACAUGAUAGUACUCUAGGGUAAUUGGUAGUAAAAUCCUAGUCUCACAAGCAAUCUAAGCAAACAACCUAGAAAACAAUCUAGACUCGAGCAAACAAGCAUAAGGCAAACCUAGCAAGCAAGACUUCUAGUACUCCAACACUUAGCCUACAAAGAACAAGGAAACUUCUCUGAGAAAAGUUCUAAAGUUCAAAGGCUCCCUAUCAUGCAUCUACAAAAGAGAGGGUUUCGGGUAUCUUACUCGGAUUUUGUAAAAGGGUUGGCUAAGAAGGCUUGAAAGAAAAGUUUGAAUAAUCAUGAAGAAUAUCCAACGCUUUAAAAGUACAACCGCUGUUGAAGUUCAAGCUAAAAACGCUCCUAAAUUUACAAAAUCUAGUCGAGAAGACAUAGAUAAGAAAGCUACCCUUAGCCCAAUCCUAACAAAAGACUUACUACCCUUCCCUUACUGGUCGCAGAGACUUUUGCACUUUUCACAAGGGCAGAAGUUUGUCGGUGGCUUACCUGCUCCGGAUGUGGGACAAUGGGUGGGACGGAUGUGGAGGAGGCGGCUGCGUCGACGGUCCGGCUUCGGCAGAUGGCCCUCUAGCGGUCGGUUAUGGGCAAUGGAAUGAUUAAUGCACAUAACGUACGACGACGUCAGUGGGAUUGAGGCAUCAAGCCUUGGACAGUUCACGGUUCGGUGGUUGAUCGAUCCACACGAACCACAAAGAAUGAAACAUGUCCGAUGGUUUCAUGUAGAGUUUCUCACAUAUUUUCAUGCAGAUGCCCUUGUUCUCGAACUUCCUCUUGCCGGCGACUCCACUAGGCAUGGAACGCGACCUUCUCUCUCGUCGGUAACUCUUGGGCGCUUCCGGCUGGCUUCUCCUUCAAGUCGGACUCUUGUCUUAACAAGAUUUCCUUCGGUCACCAUCUGGUUGACUAUCUCCAUCAAACGGUCUUGGGGCUGGUCUUCAAUCUUCCUUAGGCGAUAAAGCGUGGCUUCAUUACUUAAUUAUGCUUCCAACAUCAUCGGGUCAAAUCUUGGGAUUGGUUCUUCUUCUGGCAGCUCAGGUGCAUUGACAUUAAGGUCGGGCAAUGCAACUUGGGACUCGACGGAUAUUGGCUCACUUUGGGCGGACGGACGGGUUCUUGGUCUGACUUCGAUCGUUAACAUUGUUGGAUGGCUACGACAACUUCUAAAACUCCUUCUUCUUCCAGGGUAAGAGACUCGAACGACUCGGACGUCUCUUCUUCUUCUUUGCUGGAUCGGUCUUCACUCGAUCCUCCAUCAUCUCCAUCGGCAACUAGGUCGAUAAUCGGUCCGGGAACAAUUUCUUCUUCCAUUGGGUCUACGUCUUGGUCGGCUACUUCGGCUACUUGGUCAUUUCCUUCAAUAUUCGGCAACUGGAACAUCCCCAUCAGAAUCUCGUUCGAUGUUCCGGCUGGCUCUCCCAUCAAUUUGGCCCACAAGGCUGCUGCUUCAGGGUUGAUGUUCAUGGCUGGGAAAUCCAUGAACUCAAGUAAAAUGUGUUGAAUUUGAUCGGCAGCUUCAGCAUCUUCAUGGUCAUAUCCUCCGAUUGGGACUGCAACAAUUCUUCCUGGAUCAUCUAAUGUGAUCUCGAUCUCGCUUGGUGCUCUUUGGUUUGCUUUGACUGACUGAUCGUCUUGAUUAACUUUGACUUCGAUAGGGGCUUUGAGAUCUUUGGAUGGAUCUUUUUCCACUGAUGAUUCGACUUCGACUUUCACAAAUGGGUUUAAGUUCUGAGUAACGCUGAACGAGGUGCUACUACUAUCGGAAUCGGCAGGUAGCCAUCCACACAGAUGGCCAGGUUCGUCAUGAAUCGGCCUUCGUCCCUCAUACCCCUUUCCACAACCAAAUGCACCUAUAGACAUCUGCACCAGACAAACAAGUAAGCACCUAUACUUGGUCUAAAAACAGAAAACCCUAUAUGCAAAACAACUAGACAAACAAUCGGAUCUAAAUAUGUUUUUGCGACUCAUUUACUCGAUAAAAUGUUUUUGAAAAGCAUGUUUACAAAGAAAAGUUACCAAAGCGUUUAUAAGUUGGAUCCAUCGAGAAAAUAAUACAUAAUAGAAGAGUAAUAUUUUGCAAAAAACAUGAAAAAUAUUCUGACUCCGGCUCCUAAUUUUUGCUACAGUCUAGACUCCUUAAGAAUAAACCUGCAAAACAAAAUGAGCUUUGAGUAAUCUAGUAUUACUCAGUGAGCCGGAUACCUCCAACCUAUCAUGCAAUUUCCCCCCCCCCCCCCCCCAAAAAAACCUCAAAAGCAAAGAAGGUCAGAAAAGCGUUAGCGGAAGCAUAGAAAGCAAACAAGCAAGACAAACUAAGACUCGACUAAUCAGACUUAAGCUAAGAAUCGCUAGACUCCACUCCCUAGCCUAUCGAUAAUCUGAUCCGUUCCUUUUUAAAAUUCAUCUCUGGAUGAAACCACGAAGGCAUUCAGUCCGGAGGAGACAUCUUGGUUACAUCGUCAUGCAACAUCUUGGGCUAGUCGCGAGCUUGUGACCAAGCAUCCUGGUCAAAGACCUGAGAAACCACAAAGGUUAACUCUUCGAGACCCGCAUCGCCAUCGUCGAGGAAACAAAUUAUCAAACCUAAGAAUCAAGUCUACAGAUCUGAAACUAAGGACUCUCUGAAAGCAAGAAAUUCUACACAAAGAAGAUCAGUACUAGAAGAGAUAAAAAACAAGCAAGCAAGCAAAACAAGCAAUCAACAAGUAAACAAAGCAAAGCAAGCAAGUAAACGUGUGAUUAAUCUAGGUGAUAGUUCUCAGUGAUACUAAGAAACAAGACCUAUCCGGAUUAACAGGCGGAUUCAUUUUAGUUGGUCAUAUUAGCAAGCACUAUCUUGUAAUUAAGCCGGAUUGUUUAAGCAUGUAGGUUCAUAUUUGCAGAAAUUAAAGCCUAUCAUGCAGGUUCUACAAAAGAAAAGGCAAGCAAAACACGCAAUAGGUUCAUACACAAGUCCAGAGACUUAUGCAGCACCCCACACAAUUUGUAUCGUACUAACAGUGUUUUUAUCGACAAUUUCUUCCUUUCUCUCAGCGAGGCACGCUCAUGAACACUCCUUCUUUUUGGCUCAACCUUCGGUAGCAGACCUCUCGACUCUGGCAACAGAUUUGUCGAUCCUUCGGCAGCAAUUAAUCGAUCGGAGGGGCAAGUUUCUCGAACGAAACUUUCAAGAGUGAGAGAGAGAUUCUUUAGAGUGAGAGAGUUGUGUCGUUUGGGCUAACGAACACAAAUGAUGUUUCACUGCCUCAAUUUAUAGCCUUUAGCUUCGGGAAAAAUAGCUAGCUUCGGAAAACGCAUGCAUUCGCCAGGUGUAGGUUCAUGUUUGGCAAAACAAGCCAUCUCUCGCUACCGGACACGUGGCAGCCAUGGAGAAGAAACGGGAUUCUGUCUGAUUGCAUCCAUUGAAUCUUCUCCCAUAUCUUUGCAAGAUAUCUUUCAGUACUGAACAUGAAUUAGUCUUUACCCCUUCACGUUUGUACUAUCUUCAUUUGUAAUAUUCUUUUAGAUACUGGUAUUAAAUUUUAAAUUAAUGAAAUCGUGACUUUGAUGAUCUUUUAUAAAUUACGUUCAAAGUCGUUUUCACGUUUCAUCUUGAUAGUUAGAAGAACUAAUUGAAUAUUAAAAUUUGAUACAAGAUGACUACUUUUGCUGUUUGGUAGUUACUAUAUAAAUAAAAUGAAUAACUAUAAAUUUGAAUAUCAUACUCAAUCAUUUUAUAAUGCUAAAUCAAAAAAUAUACAUAUACAAAAGUAAAAAAAAAUUGUCUGCAGUUUGCUAUGGGUUAAAUCUUAUUAAUGUGUAAUUUGGACACGAAGAUUUUGUAAAUACAUUUGUAUUUUAUUCAUAUAUUUAUUUUACCUAAUAUGAUUUUAAUUAUAGUGCAUUUAAAAAAAAAUAUUAUCUAUUUAAUUAUAGUUUUUCUACAUUCCACUAUAUAUAUUCAAUAGAAAAUAUUAUCUGUAUCACAUUUUUGGAGUACAAAUUUGUGACUCAUCUAAAAUUACACAUUAAAUAAAAAAAUUUCUUCAUUAUUCUAUAGUAAAAAUAAAUCAACUCAAUCUAUUGAUAUAAUAUGAAAUCUUUAAAAAAAAAAAAAAAAAAAAAAAAAAAAAAAAACAAUUGUUCUGUGGAGUACCACGGGGUAAAUUAUAUUUAUUGUAAUAUAUAUUUAGCCAUAUACAAAUAUGUUUUUAGAACAUGAGUUUAUAAAACAAAAAUUAUAAUGGUUCAGAUAAUUUAAACCAGACAAAUUUGGUGGUAACUUAUAUUAAUGAGCAUUAAAACAAUAUAUUUAUAUGUUGUAAUAUUCAGUUAAUAUAGUGCUAUAUACACCGUGGUUAAAAUUGACGAAUAUUGGAAUACAUUAUCAUAUAAAAGUAUAAAACUGGAAAUAUAUAUACCAUAAAAAUACAUUGUUCAUGUUGGACCUCUAAGAAUUUAAACGAACUUUGUAUAGAAUUGAUUAAACUAUAACGGUUAAGAUUAUAUAUAAGAGAGAAACAUUUAAUAAUGGCCCCGUGGUGUAUCACUGGGUAAAAUCUAGUGUUAUGUAUUUUUUAAUACAUUAUUUUAACGACUUCAUCGCCGUUGCUAUGACAUGUGCGCACGGUAUGCUGAGGCAUUGGUACUCAUUGCAUGGAUAGGUCCCGUCAAAUAGUUUACCCAAGAAGCAUUCUCCAUUCUUAAUCUGGACUUGGAACUCAAAAUCGCUAAUAGGCCUCACCGCCAUCGCCAUUGCUAGUUCGAAGUUUUCGUCAACUAUAGUCCUAACGUUUGGAGCGACUAUAGAAAUAGACCGCUCGGCUCUUGAAAUCCAGAUUGCAAACCACUCCAUAACCGUCGUGCGAAUCUAUUCAAGCAUACAUAUGAGUAGAUAUUCUCUCGCCUCUCGAAGUACUUGGUUCCAUGAUUCGGCAAUGUUACUAUCCAUGAUAUUGUAUCUUUUCCCUGGGAAAUGGACUCUUGUCCAGUGUGCAAAGCCUGUAACAUAUAAUUGUUAUGUUGUUAUCACAUUUUUUUAUUGUUAUGGUAUAUUACUAUUACCAACCAUUUUUGAAACAUUUUAAGACUCACCAAUGUCAACGAGGUAGGCUGCACAUUCGGGGUUAAGUCUCUAAAUUUGGAGGAAUUGUUUGUUGAAGUCCUCAAUCACAAAAGCCCUUGCGGCUGAGGACAUCAUCCCUACUAAAUUAGACGGCUUGUAUAGGUGACGAAUAUUACGCCACAAAUGAACAGUGCAAGCGGCAUGGUGAGUUUCAGAAUACACCUACAUCGAAAUAGUAACGAACAUGUGUUAAUUAAUUAUAACAAACUGGCUAUAGACAGCUUAUACUUGUAAUUAACAUAAAUGAGAAGCAAAAAUAGAAAUACCUUACGCAGUCCGGCAUAUAUACUUGAAUUGCGAUCAGAGAUGAAGACCAGUUCCGAAGAAUCAUGAACAAAAAAGCUUAGGCGUUGGAAGAACCAUUCCCAUGCGUCAUCGUUUUCGAUGUCUACAAUUGCAAACGCGAGGGGAAAUAUCUGAAAAUUUCCGUCUUGACUACAUGUAGUAAGUAAGCAGCCACCAUAAUGUGCUUUCAUUGACGUCUCAUCAGCAACCAAAACUUUUCUCAUGAAUUGGUAACCUUUAACAGAAGCUCCAUAGGCAAUAAACUGGUAUUUGAAGCGAAUGUGACCAUCAAGAUCAUCGACAUGUUCAGUGAAACAUGUAGAACAUGGAUUGGUUUGUUCAAGGAGACCAACAUAAGCGGGGAGGAGGGCAUAGCUGCCGGCCAUUCAGCCAAGUGACAUCUCCAUUGCUACCUCCCUUACACGCCAUUCCUUCCAAUAUGAAAUGUUGAUGUGGAACUCGUCUAGAAGUAUUUUUCUUAUAGAAUUUGCGUUUGGUCCUCUUUUAACUCCAACAAAUCGGCUUUGCAUAAUCUCCCCGAUCAUUUGUGUCGUUGCUAGGCGAUGGUAACAUCUACGCUCAUCAACAGUACAUGUAUGCUUAAAGUUUGCCUGGCAGACUUGGAAAUGACCACUUGCAUCUAACUUUGCUGCAUAAACACGCCAUGGACACGUUCCCCCAAUGCAUUUAAGUACCAUAAACUUGGAAGUAGAACGGCUUGUGCGGAAAUGAAACUUUCUGUUGAUAGCGUGUAUGGAAAUCUUUAUUUUGCAAUCGUUUUUGGAUUUAAAAACCCGGCCAAUGAAUAUAUUGUCCACUUCAUAUCGCAUAUCAGAAAUGGCACUCGCAACACCUACAAAUAAAUUUGUUUUGUUAGUAAGGAUUUGUGUAAGGGCAAAAAGCAUACAAUGUGUAGGUUAGUGUUAAGUAAGCUUACAUUGCCCUUUGCCAUCGUUAAAAACUGGAGGUGCGUUACGGUUGAAUAGAGCCGGAUCAUUGGUCAUGUUGCUUAGCAUGCUAUGUAACGCAUCUUCUACACGUCCCCAAACCGAAACAGAAUUGACUUCCCUUUGAGCGUCCCCAACAGUUCCACUUUCAUUUGAGCUAGGUUCAGAACAUGGUAAUCUUCUAGCAUGGUGUGAUGCCACAACCGCAAUCAUGGUCCUAGCUUGGCUACAUUCAACUUGACUUGGAAUUUCUGCUUGUAUGAACAGGACAAUCUGAUGGUCGUUUUCUUCAUUGUCACUAUCGCUAUUAUGCCAUGUUGGUUCAGCUACGCCCUUUCCUUUGUCAAGGGGGUCAGCCGGGUGUCUGACUGCGUUGCUACCACCCCCACGUUCUUGAACUGUUAUACCUUUGCAGGUAGAUGAGACAGAUGCCAUAACAAUGAACUCUUCGGCACCAGCGGCCUCUUUUGGUUGCUCUAGUGGAGGCGAUGCACUCGUGUAGCUUAGUGCAAAGUCAUGCCAAUAGCUGUCAGAAUCUUCGCCAUCCGAAUCUCCAUCACCGUGAUCCGGCACAUAGUUACGCCAGUCCUUCUUCUUUUUCGGCGGAGGAACAUAUUGUGGUGAUAAUUUUCUUACAACCUUUACAAAUAGGUCAAUCCAUCUAUGUAUCGCCGAAGGCGGAGGAAAAAUUCAACAUCAUAGUCCUCCGUUAUGUAUUGUGGAUUUUUGCCUUCGUCAUGAUCAACCCAAGAUGGAUAUUUAUACGACAAUUUCACCACCGCAUUGUGAGCCCGAAUGCCUAGCCUCUCUUUAACACGCGCAACCAGAACUUUGUAUGGCAUUUUGUCACGCAGCCUCGCCAAGUUGUUCACUGGGACUGUUUCAGCUUCAAAGUUCCAAACGUUGUCAUCAACCCUAACCCACUCGCCCAAUAUGACACGAACUUGAUCUUCCCAGCCAUCUGCAAAAUAAACAUAAAAAAAGACAGGAUUAGACGGUAGAUUUUUGAUUGGAGUAACUAUCAUAUCGAUGGCAUUACGUUAGAAAACUGCAAAAACACAAAAUUGAGCGGCUUCCUUUUUAAUCUACUAAAUCAAGUCAACGUAAUAAUUUUCAGAUCUCAUGUAGGACCAAUAAAACAGCAAAUAAAUGGGAGUAAACCUAGAUCUCAAAUAGAAAACUCCCAACUUCCAUACUAUAUGGAACCCAUGUUUGGAAUAGAAAACUACUAUUAAGCUCACCUCUACUCUACGUAGCUUUUAAUGUUUCCCAGAAAUCGCUUCAAUCAUUCGCUAAUUUUUUUUUCUGGAGUUUACAGAAUGAAGAUGACGGGUGGUGUGUAUUUAAGGAGACACAUUGCCGUUUUUUACCGAUUAGGGUUAAACCUAAUUUCUAGUUUGAAAAACAUUUAUUUUCAUUGCUAUGUUAGUGAUUAGACAUACUAUAUUAUGUUACUACACCAUAGCUAACUAAAACUAACACGUUGCAAAUCUUAAGUAUCCUCACAAACCAGCGCGUCUAGGACACGUAACCCCAGAACCGUAAAAUCACAAUGGGCCUGUGUUACUUUCUUAAUUUCUGAGGUUAAUGAGCUAUAUUCUUCAUUCUCUUUUUUAAAAGGAAUAUUGAGCUAAUUCGCCCUUAUAUUUUUUUGUAUUAAUUUAUUUUUUAUAUCUUGGUUGGUUGAAUCAUCCUUAUGGAUUAAAAAUCUUAUACUCCGACGUCGAAACCACUAAACAAAGUUUUAAACCUACGUGAAUAAAAGUAUAUUUUAUUAUAUAAACUUUGGUUUUCAAAGUUAGACAUUAACAAGGGACCAAAUUUGUGUGUGCCCUUUAACCAAAGUUUUUAUACAAAUAUACCCUUCAAUGUUUUCAGGGUAAAUCAUAUGUGCCAGCCACUAUAAAUAUUUUUUAACCACCAUUUGACAAAGUCAAAUUGAGUUUACACUUAGUAGCCAUAAGAUCUUUUUUGGACCAAAAUAUCCAUAUAACAAACAAGAUUAACUUUGGUAAUUAGUUACAAUGUAACAAUAGAAAACUCAGAAUAAAAAGAUUAGACUAUUUGAGUUCAUUAUUAUUUUUCCCCAAUAUUUGUUUUUACAUUUUUUCUCCUUUUCAUUUGAUAAUUUUUUAUUAUUUUCGUACGUUUUAUUAAAAUUUAUUUGUUUGUAUCUUGUAAAAUUCAUUUUGGUAUAAACACCAGGAUCUCCUCGUAUAUUAAUACUCCGGGAUUAUGAAGUUAUUCGUAGUUCCAGAAUCCAACAACACGUGGGACGAUGAUACAAGAUUGGAAUCACUCCAACUUUAAAUCAUUUGAUGAUCAAGAGAUUCCAAGCUUAGCUCGCUGAAGGUGGAAUUCACGAGUUAGCUCUGAAGGACUCUCUCGUGAAUCAAGGGCUGAUACAAAGGAUAGUUCAGGUGAUUGACUCGCUUAAUAGGUGGGAUAAUCUCGAUCAAUGAACGAAUAAAGGAUGUUGAAUCCGCAGAUUCCACUAGGCUUAAGAGCCUAACUCACUUAAGACUAAUCAAUAACAAUGAGAAAGACUUGAACUUUGACAAGAAGAACUUUGCUAUUACUUAAAAAAUGAUCAAGGGUGUUUUUACAAUGAAAAAGCUAAUGAGCUUAUAUAGGCUCAGCUACACGUCCUAAUAAUUUAAAAUAAAAAACAAAUCGCAUAAAAUUAGAUACACUAGCCGUUGGGACUUUAUGAACCAAAUCGGCAUAAUAAGGCAAGUAUAGAGAUGCCUUGAGUCUUGAAAACUUGGGUGCGAAUCCAUGACUCACUUGGGUUGUCUAGGUUCAUAUUGUCAAGCUGCAACACGUGCAUAAGUGAAUAAGGAAGGAGUCUUUGCAGCUUGACCUCUUUUGGCUCAAUGUAUGGUAAGUAGCGAGUCAUUGAUUUCCUGUGUGGUAAGGUGUACCGAAGAUUGUAUGGGACAAGUCUUUUGUGGCCUAAAAAUUCUCCUGGUAUCCAUAUGCAGCUUUGGAACACUUUCACAUGAAGGUAAAGGAGAGUUUCCUUAUCUCUCUCCAAAUAGAUCAACGACCUUGAUUCAAAGGGUGAUUUGAGCUUGGGUCUUGUGGUUGUUCUCCAUGGGCUGGGGCCUUGUGGUGAAUCAAAUAAGUGUGUGGAAUCCCUUCAUGGCUGAUCCAAGUGUUAAAAGACUUAAAAUCCUCACAACUUACAAAUUGGUGUGGUUUAACAAAUUUGUCAGCGACUAGUUCAGCAUGGUUCUCAGCGAGUAUUUCCGCAUGUCUGUGAACAAGUAGUUCAAAAUAUACAUCAGCUAUCAUCUUCUAAUUAGAUGGAUGGUAAAUGAUUCUUUGAUGACUUGGUGUUACCUCAUUAAAACCUUUAUAGGUAAACCCUUUGAGAAAAACCAUAGACAAUGCAAAAAGAGUGCAACAGUCAUACCCCAAUAAUAAGGUAAGUUGACUUGCUGACUUUUGAUCCUUCUUGAACUAUUGGACUUCUUAAAGUUAAUAUGCUCGUGGACAAUUAAACCUUCAUCUUGUGCUUGUUCAGGGUUCCAUUUAGGAUAAGGUUCUUAAAAUUCUCCUUGUAGACCGAUUUGUUGUCAAGACCAAUUGGUUUGGUGUGUUUCUGGUUUGAUCUAGUUCUGAUGUUCGCAUCAUACCCUCUUCGUUGAAAAAGUUUCGAUUCGACCUUGAAAACGUUUCAACCUUGAAACUGUACAACCUGCACCAAGAGAAAGCAAGUUAGCUUUCAUGCGAUUUUGGGAGUUUAAUGUCUGACCUUGGUAUUGUUGUCUCUUCAUGAUGCAUAAUGCAUUUGGUGGCUCUCCUUUGAGCAAGAAAGAUAAGAUCACUCGUUGGUUUUCAUCUAGUACAACAUUUGAUGGUGUAACGUGUUUAGCUCCAUCUCGGGUAUGUGCUUGUGCUUUGAAAUCUGGUGGUUCCUCUUUCAUUAGGGUAUAAAUUGGGAGUCUCCUAGUCUCCAUUAGGGAUAGUGGUCAAAAUGGCGCUCGGUUUAUUCCAGUUUUAUUUUGAUUCAAGCGUUUCUUCAUCCUGGGUAAUUCGACUUUAUGAUCCUCAUUCGCACCUACAAUGUUGGUGACACUUUUGGAAAAAAAAAAGUGCAUUAAUACAGUCAUGGGACCAAUAUAAACAUGUAUAAAUAUGAUGGGCUGAACCAUUUCCUUUUCAUGAAGUGUAUCAAUAAGUAUGUCACAAAGUGAAUCAACUAAUCGAUAUGAUUUAAAACAAGAAAUUGGUUCCAUAGGUUUUUUUAAAGAACAUAAGUUUUUGUCACAUUAUGUAGAGCUUAAUAUGUUUAUAAACACAUCAUUCAAAUUAUUAGAAAUAAAUCGAAAGAAUGAGUUACUUGCUUGACAUGGUUCUUUGGUGAGUGUAUCAUUCAAAAUCAACAAGGUUGAUUGAUUUGAUGACUGGUCCGGUGGUUCUUCUUGCAGUAGAAUGUGUUGGUGCUAACUUCAUCAUCUUUAGUAGCAUGUAAACACAUCUUAAGCUAUUAAUCUGGGUGCAUGUUAUCACUCUUUGCUAGUUUCUCUGUUUUCUCUACAUUCAAUAUUCUUUGGGAUGUAGUCUCUCGCUCAUCACGAUAUUCUUCUAUCGUACUUGUAUCUUUCUCGCCACUUAAGACUAAAAUCAAGUGCAUUAUACUUACAAUAUAAUCAUUGAAAACAAAAUGUUUGAAGUUACGAUUAAUUAUUAAAUUAUUCCAAUAUCUAACAAAGUUGUAGGUUUCACUUACUAGGAUACCAUGUAAGGUGUUUGGCCUUAACUCAACCUUAAUGAAAGUGAUAUUAGAAGCAAGAUCGGAUGAUGUUGAACAUAGUUGUGCCUUCACACGUGCUUUAAAGGUUGCAUGCUCACACGUCUUGUUUCGGUAAAGUUGUGAUGAUGUUAUUUCCGAAAGUUGCUCCUCAAGACUUAUGUCAUUUUCAACUUCCUUUGGAGUUGCUACAUGGUGGAUUAAUACUUCAGCAUUUUCAUCCAUCAUAUGACUUAUACCUGCAUCGGUAACCUUUGGUUAAAACAAGCACAUUAAUCUAGAAUUGGAAAUCUCUAAACUUGAUCCCAUUAGACAAUCAUUUGAGUUAGAUGCAUUAAAUUUCAACUCUAUUAAUGUGUUAUCAUCUACUUUUCUUUCACGACAGGUUGCAGCAAAGUGACCUCUCUUAUGGCAUCUAUAACAUGUCUGUGCAUUUGAUUUUAAGGAGUUAAAAGGCUUACCUUGCUCGUGUUUAUCUUGCGGCUUAAGUAAAGGUAUGGGGUUUGAUUCUUCUUUUUCACUUGUUCCUUUCUCAUUCUCCUUGGAUUAAAACAAUACCUUUGCAUGUGAUAUAUCCACGUUUUGAUUGGAACUAACACGUUGAAGUGUUGUGUUCUCUUGACUCGUUUUCUUUGAGGGAUAAGUAUUUUGACAGGGCUGGGAUAGCAUAUGAGGUGCAUAUAUCUCCCUCAUAAGCAACUUUAUUUGCCCCCAUGUUAUAAGUGAUGGCUCCUUGUACCAUACUCUAUCUCUUUCCUCUCGGUUCCACUAACGUUUUGCGCUUCCCAUGAGUUGUUCAAGACAGUAGUUGAGCCUCUCUUCUUUGGGAAUCUAAUAGUACCUAAAGUAUUUGUCCAUGUUGAUUUCCCAUUAUAGAUAAUCUCUUUCAUGUCCUCCAAAUUCAAAACAUCCAGGUCCAAAAUACUCAUAACCAUUGUCUAGAGAUAACCUGAAUUUUUUCUUCUGGGUUCGGGUGGGGUUGGAUAGAAACGAGUCUCUUCUAGCACCAUGUUUUAGUUCGCCUCCUCUUAGUUUACUGGUCCUUGUGAUGCGGACAUCAGAACUAGAUCAGACCAAGAGCAUACCAAACCGGUCUACAUGGAUUAUUUUGGAGAUUCUUUGUCUAAGUGGAGUUCUGAUCAAGUACAAUGUGAAGGGUUAAUUAUUCACCAUGAUAUUAAACCUAAGAAGUCUGACAGUUCAAGAGGGAUAAAAAAUCAGCAAGUCAAAUCACCUUAUUAUCGGGAUAUGACUGUUGCACUCUUUUUCCCUUAUCUAGGGUUUGUCCCAAUGGGUUUACCUAGAAAGGUUUUUAAUGAGGCAACACCAAGUCAUCAAGGAAUCAUUCACCAUCCAUAUGAUUCAAAGAUGAUAGCUGAUGUAUAUUCUGAUAUACUCGCGGACAAGCAUGCUGAACUACUCGCUGACCGACUGCCUGAACUACUCGCUGACCGACUACAUGAACUACAUCAGAUUGUGAGCUGUGAGGAUUUGAAGUCUUUUAACACUUGGAUCAGCUAUGAAGGGAGUCCACAUACUCAUUUGAAUCACUACAAGGCCCCAGCCUAUGUAGAACAGCCCAAGAGAAGACCCAAGUCCAAACCACCAUUUGAAUCAAGGCCAUUGAUCUACUUGGAGCAUGAUAAGAAAACUCUCAUAACCUUCAUGAGGACAUGUUCCAAAGCUGCAUAUGGAAACUAGGAGAACUUUUAGGCCACACAAGACUUGUCCCACACGAUCUUUGGUACACCUUACCACACAAGAAGCCAAUGAGUCACAACUUGCCAUAUAUGGAGCAAGAGGAGAUCAAGCUUCAAAGACUCCUUCAUUAUUCACUUAUGCAUGUCUUGAAGCUUCUUACAAUGAACCUAGAUACUCCAAAGAGUCAUGGAUUCGCACCUAAGCUUUCAAGACUCAAGGCAUCUCUCUACUUGCCUUAUUUUGUCGAUUUGGUGCAUAAAGUCCCAACGGCAAGUGUAUUUAAUUUUGUGAUAUUUGUUUCUUGUUUUACAUUAUUAGCACGUGUAGCUGAGCCUAUAUAAGCUCAUUAGUUUUUUCAUUUGUAAUCACCCUUGAUCAAUUUAAAGUAAUAGAAAGUUUUCUUCUUGUCAAAGUUUGAGUCUUUGUCAAUCUUGUUCUUUAGUUCUAUGUGAGUGAGUCACUUAGUGCUUUAGAAACCUGCGUAUUAAGUUUUUUGAGUGAUUCAACAUCCUUUAUUCUUCCAUUGAUCGAGUGAGUCGAUUAUCCCACCGAUUGAGCGAGUCAAUCACCUAAACUAUCCCCUGAACCACCCACUGAUUCACGAGAAAGUGCUUCUGGCCAACUCGUGAAUUCCACCUUCCGCAAGCUAAGCUUGGAGUCUCUUGAUCAUCAAGUGACAUAAAGUUUUGAGGAGAUCAUGUCUACCACUCGGAUGUGGUUCAAGUCGCAUUGAUGAUCCUUAAAUCACUUCUUUAUACUACAUGUGGGUUUGUGCAGAAGUACGUAUCUCUUGAUUUUUCUUGACAUGAGGCUGUACGCACUCGAUGUAACAAGAUGUGAUGGUCGGUCUUCUCUUCACGCCUUGGACAGUGUCGAUAAUGGUAGUGUUUCAAUGUUUUUGUUCUAUACUCCAUGUCUUUGCCCCACUUAAAGUAAUCAUCUUUUCCUGAAAAAUAUAUAAUUUGGGUCAAUAAAGAUUUCAAACCAUAGCUGCAAAAAUCAUCAUUAAGUUUAAUCCAUGGUUAAGAAUAGCCUUUAUUGGUGUUGUAUGAGUUAGACGGUUAUGGUUUUGGUGCUUCAUGUCCUGGUUCUGGUGCUUUAUGGCAUGGUUUAUCUCUUUAAUUAGAACCUGAACUAUCAUCUUGUUGCGACGAGACCGUUCCAUAGUUGUCUUGCUCAUCGGACAUGACUUGAUAGGGAUCUUCUCCUUGAAUUUCUUCAUCUAAAUAACACUCAAUAGACUCCAUAAUUUCUCAUGUCUUCGUGAUAGAAAAAUCUUGCACAAGCAAAAUAAAGAUGUAUCAAAAGUAAAUCAACAAAUAAGUAAUAUACUUAAGUAAAAAAAAAAUGGAAGUUCUUUUUUUUUUUUUAAAUAAAUCCAAAAAUUCAAAUAGCAAAAGGAAAAAUUCAGUUUUUAAUUUAUUUUCUCGCUUUAUAUAAAGAAAAAUCGAAAAUUUAUUUAGAAGAACAAAAAUAUGUUUUCUUAUGGCUUUUUCUUUUAAUAAAUCCAAAAUAAAUAAGAAAAUGAAAUAGAUCAAACUUUUUUUUUUAUUAUAAAAUAAUGAAGCAAAUAACAAAAAAAAAGCAAGAAAUGUUGUAAACUAAAGAGAAGAGAGGUGAAUUCGUGAUACCUUUACUCAUUAGCAUAGAGUCCUUAAUAUAAGGACUAGAAGAAAAUCCGGGCUACGCCCGAUACGUAUUUGAUCAUUUAGUUUUAGCUUUUUAUAUGUUUUUUUUUAAAUGAUAGAUGAAUAUUGGCGAAUGAAGAUACACUUUCAAUCGUUGGAAGUAGAAGGACACGAAGUGGAGAAACCUCCACUAUGAUAGAUUUGCUAGAACUCUAAGAAUGUACAUAGAAGGUUUUGGCUUUACCGAAUGUGUUUGCAGGCGAGAAAGUCAUUACUCGGUAAAAAUAUAGAGUCUACUGUAGUAAUUGCGCUUGCGUCUUCAUUAAAAAUGGCAUCUUUUACCUCUAGCACGAGCACUCCACCAGCAUCAUCAUAGUCAAGUAAAAUAUUGCUUUAACAGAAAGUAAUAUUAUGAUUCUCAUUAAGAUCAAAAUUGUACAAUUUUUUCAAAUCACUUGGAAUUCCACUUUGAAUACGCCCCCUAAAUAACUUUAGAAUCUUUUAACACUGAAUAUGGUAAUAAACGCAAACAGUUUGAUAACUUGGUAUAAAACAAAUAAAAAAAAAAAUAGAUGAACAAAGAGACUGGUUUUCGAAUAUUCAUUUUUUGAUAACAUAUAGAACAUAAAGAGAAGUCCUUACCACCAGUCGUUCGUUGCCUAUAGUGUGGUAAAGCCAAAUUUCACAGCUAAGUCUGGAAAGGAAAAAUAUUUAUGAAACAGUUAAGAGUGCAUAAAAUUUUCAAUCUUUGAAUCCCGCAGAUUAACUUAUGGGUGAUUUGAUUGCAGACUUUGUAGUGACGACGAUGGUGAACGUAGCAGAGAGGUAGAAAUAUUUGGAGAUGAACGUAGUUAAGAGAACUUGAGGAAGUGAAAGGAAGUUGAGUAGGUUCAUCUUUCACUGUAAGAGGAGUUGCAACUCAAUAGUAGAAAAAAAAUCAUAUAUACAUUAAAGAAAAACUCAAUCUUUCUAAGAAGUGAAAACCCUUAACCUUGUAUUAUCAACAACCAAUCAGACUCAAUUGACAGAGCUGUGUGAUGGGAAGGUAGUGGUAACUACAUUUGUAGUAGCAGAAUUGCAGAUCUCGAUUUCAGAAGAAAUUGUAGCAGAGUAUCAAAAGGAGAGCUUAAGAGGAAAAAUCUAAGGUGUGAAUCAUGGGAUCUAAUUCUCAAGGGUAGAUGGAGAGAGAACUGUAGAGGAAGAUAGAGACGUAUAUAACUUUAAAAGAGAGAUUUUUUAUGGAAGAAAGAGUUAAUCAUGGUGUUGGUGUAACUGAUGAACAUGGCGAGUCUCUCCGUUGACUAAGAAGUGUGAAUAUUAAAACGUCAUUUUUGGAAGAAAUGGGACUAAACUUUUUCUUAUGCCAUGUGGCAUCCUCUAAAAUGAUUUAGGAAAGCGGAUGUGGCUUGCUUUAGGAGCCUCAAAUAACCCCUUUAUUAGUAAGUAAUUGAUACAAGGGAGGAAAGUAAAACCUAAAACAAAUAGGAAAAGAUUAAACCUGCUCAAUAUUGGACGGACCGGGCUUGAAUAUGGGCCGAGCCGGACUGGGCUUGUUAUGAAAAUCCACCAUAUGAUUUAUAACACUCCCCUUUGGAUGUAAUAACCGUUAGAGCUUCUAAUAUGCUUUGGAUGUUGCCUCAUUAAAACCUUACCAGGAAAACCCGAUGGGAUAAAACCGUGGUGAAGGAAAAAGAGUACAACACGUCUUACUCCCCCUGAUUUGAAUCUCACUUAAGAUCUUUCAACCGGCGCAUUCCAAUUUGACGUGUAAUUUUCUUGAAAGUAAAGGUUGGAAGCGACUUGGUGAAUAGAUCUGCCACAUUGUCACAUUAUUUGAUGCGGACAUCAGAACUAGAUCAAACCGGGAGCACACCAAACCGGUUUACAUGGAGAAUUUUGGAGAAUCUUUGCCUAAAUGGAGUUCUGAUCAAGUACAAGACGAAGGGUUAAUUAUUCACCAUGAUAUUAACCCUAAGAAGUCGGACAGUUCAAGAGGGAUCAAAAAUCAGCAAGUCAAAUCACCUUAUUAUUGGGAUAUGACUGUUGCACUCUUUUUCCCUUAUCUAGGGUUUGUCCCAAUGGGUUUACCUACAAAGGUUUUUAAUGAGGCAACAUCAAGUCAUCAAGGAAUCAUUCACCAUCCAUAUGAUUCAAAGAUGAUAGCUGAUGUACAUUCUGAUCUACUCGCGGACAAGCAUGCUGAACUACUCGCUGGCAAGCAUGCUGAAUUACUCGCUAACCGACUGCCUGAACUACUCGCUAACCGACUGCCUGAACUACAUCAGAUUGCGAGCUGUGAGGAUUUGAAGUCUUUUAACACUUGGAUCAGCCAUGAAGGUAGCCCACACAGUCAUUUGAUUCACUGCAAGGCCCUAGCCCAUGGAGAACAUCCCAAGAGAAGACCCAAGUCCAAACAAUUCUUUGAAUCAAGGUCGUUGAUCUACUUAGAGCGAUAUAAGGAAACUCUCCUUUACUUUCAUGAAGACGUGUUCCAAAGCUGAAUAUGGAAACUAAGAGAACUUGUAGGCCACACAAGACUUGUCCCACACGAUCUUUGGUACACCUUACCACACAAGAAGUCGAUGAGUCACUACUUGCCAUACAUGGGGCAAAAGGAGAUCAAGCUCCAAAGACUCCUUCCUUAUUCACUUAUGCACGUCUUGAAGCUUCCUACAAUGAACCUAGACACCCCAAGGAGUCAUGGAUUCACACCCAAGCUUUCAAGACUCAAGGCAUAUCUCUACUUGCCUUAUUUUGCCGAUUUGGUUCAUAACGUCCCAACGGCAAGUGUAAUUAAUUUUGAGCGAUUUGUUUCUUGUUUUACAUUAUUAGGACGUGUAGCUGAGCCUAUAUAAGCUCAUUAGAUUGUUCAUUUGUAAUUACCCUUGAUCAAUUUAAAGUAAAAGAAAGUUUUAUUCUUGUCAAAGUUUGAGUCUUUGUCAUUGUUCUUCAUUAAUCUUAAGUGAGCGAGUCUCUUAAGUCUAUUGGAACCUGCGGAUUAAGUUUGUUGAGUGAUUCAACAUCCUUUAUUUGUCCAUUGAUCGAGUGAGUCGAUUAUCCCACCGAUUGAGCGUAUCAAUCACCGGAACUAUCCCCUGAACCACCCGCUGAUUCACGAGAGAGUGCUUCUGGCCAGCUCGUGAAUUCCACCUUGCGCAAGCUAAGUUUGGAAUCACUUGGUCAUCAAGUGAUCUAAAGUUUGGAGUGAUUCCAAUCUUGCAUCAUGAUUGAACUUGUUCCACUUGGAACUCUUCGGCUUUAAGUUGCGUUGUCUUCAAAUAUGAUGGUCUUUGAUUUAGUAGUAGAUGCGCCUUAAAGAAGGCUGCCUACGUACCCUUGGAAGGGAUCAAACCACAAGUAGUUCCUAUUCAUUGACCAUGCCAUGAUCUGAUCUUAUGAAUAACCUGCAUCAGUCAAUCAAACUAAACCAAAGCAAACUGGACCUACUUUGGUUAGAUCAGUAUAGAGUAAAACCCAAGUAAACAACGCAGGAAGAAUAGACUUUAUAACUUUACCAAACCUUCUUUUAAACCUUUCCAGUGCCUUUGGGUUGAUCAUGAACUAGAUUUAGACAGGAGACUCACGGUAAAACAAAUGUUUGGUCUAGUGUGUCUAGCCAAAUUCUUUAGAACUCCUAUGGCAUUGAGAUAUGGCAUUUACGGACUGAAUGGAUCACUAUCCAAUAUGAGGCUUCUCACCCACCAUUGGGCCUGGUCAAUGGGCGGGCCCGGUUCUUAUUAAAUCUCCAUGAGUAUUCUUUCAGUAUAUGCCAUUUGAUGCAAAAGGAUUCCAUUAUUCACGUACUCAAGUAGUAAUCCGUAACAGAACUUAAUUAUUGCCUAGGUCUUUCAUUUCAUAAUCUUUGUUUAGAUAUAUUCAACUGUUUGGUCGAUUACCUAGAGGUUUAAAUCAUUCAUAUACACUGCUAUGAUUACAAAUCUUUUGUUUGCAAACCUGUUUAUGAAUGUACAUGGACUGAUGUGAUUAUUUAUAACCUUACAUACGCCCACUUAGUCUAAGUCCAUGAAAGGAUUUGUCCAGCCUUAUGCACUGCUGUUAUCGAGAACCUUUCUUAUCUUUGAGCUCAAUACCCUCUGGUAAUUUCAUAUAUUAUCCAGUGGACUUAUAUAAAUAUGCAGGCAUUACAUCCAUUAGCCGCAAAUCGAUUUUUUCUCUUUUAUAUAGCCAGACUUAGCAAAAAUUUAAAUGUCUUAGCAUCCACCACAGGGGAGUAUAUCUCCUCAUAAGCCGUGCUUUAUAUCUCUAAAUUUUUCCAUGUUCAUUUUUUUCACAAAGACCUAUUUAUGUCCAACUGGUUUAAUAUCAAGAGGUGUCCGGAUUAUUGGACUAAAUACAUUCCUCUUCUUUAAUGAAUUCAACUCCACAUUUAUAGCUUCUUUCCAUUUAAUCCAAUCUGAUCGUCGAGUGCACUCUAAUAUGGACGUGGGUUUUAGAUCCUCGCUUAUUUCAUUAAUUUUUAGUGCUACCUUGCAUGCAAUAUAUUAUCAAUGUCGACAUUCUUUCGGUUCCAUUUUAUCCUGGACAUAACAUAAUUGAUCGUGAUCUCAUUAUUAUCAAGAACUUCAUCAGUACCUUGAAACUUGGCGUCCCAAGCCUCAUUGUUAGGUAUCUGAGGUUCGGUUAUGCCUCGGGUAACCACAGUUUUCUCAACCUCGGAUUCAUUCUUAGCACCUCUUUAUUUUUCGAGGGUUCUUAUCUUUGGAACCUAUUGGUCUACCACGUUUCAUACGUGCCUUAGACUCUGUAGCAACUUGAUUGUGUCCUUCCUAAACAUCAAUAUGUAUUGGUGCAUUUAUAAAUAGUAUAUGUGACUUAAUCACUCUAUUCGGGUCAGCAAAGAAAUCUGGCAAUUGAUUAGCUAGCUUUUGUAUUAGCUUUUGGACUUCUAAUUCAAAUUUCAUAGUCCAUAAUAAGGAUGAUUGAUUCUAUGUAAUUUCCUUUACCAGCUUAUUAUUAUCUCCCCUUAAUGGUGGGUUAUUGGUUUCAUCAAAAUGACAAUACUCGUACUUGGCCUUGAAUAAAUCAACCGUGGUCGGCUCAAGCUACUUAUUUAUUAUGGAAUAUUCAUAUCCAAUAUAUAUCCCCAUCCUCUUUUGAGUAUCCAUCUUAGUUCUUUGUGGUGGAGCUCAAUUGGUAUAUAUACGGCACAUCCAAAUGUCUUAAAAUGGAAAAUGUCUGGGUCAUGACCCUUAAGUAAUUGUUUUGGGGAAUAUUUAUUUUCAUUAGAUGACCUGAUGCGAAUAAAUUCAGCUGCAUGUAAGACAACAUGUCCCCAAGCUGAGAUUGGGAGUUUUGAUCUCAGAAACAAUGGUCUAGCAAUUAGCUGUAUGCGUUUUAUAAAUGAUUCAGGCAGACCGUUUUGUGUAUGUACAUGUGCCACAAAAUGUUCUACACUUACCCCCAUGGACAUACAAUAAGCAUUAGAAACUUAGGACGUAAGUUCACCAACAUUAUCUAGACGUAUAGUCUUUAAUCACUUUGACUGGUGAUGGCCUUUUCAUGAGUUUCCCUUGUGAACAUGCUACACAAGUGAGAUUCUUUGGGAUAACUCUACUUUCUUUCAAUGUGUGUCCAUUUGUAUUUAAUAUCAAUUUUCGCAUUACACUCGAUCCGGGAUGGCCAAGCCGAUCGUGCCAAAGAGUGAAUCUCUCGGUAAUCUCUUUGUUUCCCGUGGCAUUAGCUUCUAUCAUAUUAGCCUUAGCACAGUAAAUGCCUUUAAUACUUUCUUAUGACCUUUUAUAUUUUCUUAUGACUUUUAAUACUUUCUCAUGGCCUUUAAUACUUUCUUAUGACCAUUUAUACUUUUUUAUGAUCUUGGCCGUUUUCAAAUAUUAUUAGGAACUCUUUAUUUCUUUCGCCCUUAGUUUCAAAAAUAAUAAUCAUAUAUUCAAUAUUUAAAUAAAAGAUCCUCUAAUUUAUUAAGUUCAAAACAAUAUCAAAAAAAUUCAAAGCAAUAAUAGAGAAUAAAUUCAAAGCAAUAAAACUUUAAAAGCAAUCAUGAAGGCAAUCAUAAAAACAAUCAUGAGAAUCUUGAUGUCGAAAUUAUAUUGGUUAUUCUAAGCAAUCGGGAGUCUCAUAUGCCAUAAGAUCAUUUUUGUCAUGAUCAAAAUCAUCUUUAUUAUCAUAGUGGAUGAUAAGUCUGUAUUUCAUUGCUUUUUGAGUAUGCAUUCAUCAUCUAUUCAGCAUCAUUCACUUGUUGAUUCGCAUCAUAUUGAUCCCUUUCUGCAUGUUUUACAUACUUAGGUAGGUUUUAUGCAUAUCAUGCAUAUCAUGCAUAUCUUGCAUACAUUGUCCAUAUUUGGAGUGUUUCAGGUACUUAGGAGACAUGCAGGGCGAAGCAGAGGAACAAGCGUUACUCGACAUGCACACGAUCGAGUGGGACGAUCGAGUGAGAAGCAUGGAUGCGUUGCAGUUACAUUGACGUUCGAGUGAGCAGCAGACGUAUACGAUCGAGUGGCAGAUCGAGCAGAAGGGAAGCGAAGCAGAACUACCUGUCACUCGAUGCACUCACUCGAGUGACAUGAUCGAGCAAAGCAAAGAAGUAGCUGAUGGUUUUACAGGUCACUCGACCCACUCACUCGAGUGACACGAUCGAGAAAGCAGAGAAGAUGGUCACUCGAGGUGCUCACUCGACCAACUUAGUCAAAACAACCUUUGAACCGCUUUUACGUUGUCGUUUUAUGUUUUAAGGUUUUCCCAAACAUUGUUAUAAAUAGGCUUCAUUUGGAUUGCCCAAGGGAUAUCGAGUUUUUUAUUAGGUUUUUGUUGUUAGCCACCAAACAAUCCAGAAAAUUGUAAUUCAUAUUUCUUUUGAGUUAUUGAGAUUUUGCAACUAGUUCUGAAAUCAUUGUUGUUACUCUUCCUAUCAUCCUUAUUAUUAUGCAUGUUUUGAACGAUUCUUGUUUCAUGAUGUUUAACAUGAUUUCUGCGUCUGAGUAGUGUUAGGGUUCUUGAGGAUGGGAUAGAUUAGGUGGAGGAUGUUAGUUUGCUAGAGUGUUUAUGUUAGAUUCGUUUGUUUCCCUUCUGGACUAGAGUUUUAUUAGCUAGUUCUUCUCUGAUCAAUUGGAACUGGGUCAUGGACAUUUCAUACCCGAAAGGUAUAUGAUGAAAUGUCUGAACCAACUAGUGCCAGAGAUUUACAUGCUUAGCCCAAGAGAUUGGUUGUCUAAGAUGUUUAUUGACAUUAAUGAGCUGUUUCUUUAUGCCUGUUUACUGCAUGUUUCAUCAAUGAGAAUUGAGAUUAGGAAGUGUUGUAAACUUGAUAGUUUCUGCCAAGAGAUUGGAUUGACUAGUAUUAGAAGUUCAUUGUCUAGGGAUUAGAAUGUUUGCAGUUUGAUAAACACUCGAAGUAGAUUAGCAUACUCCACCUACAUCAAUAACCUCAUCCUCGGGAUCUUCUAUCCAUUUGUGCUUUCUGUUUAAUUCUCUUGUUAUUUACUUAGUCUGCUUUGUUUUCUUGCCAGUAUCAAUAAUCGUUACGUUUUAGUUUAUGCAUGGUAGUCUAUGUUUUACAGCUUUACAUUUAUCGCAUGUUUAACAUGUUCGUUUAGGAUCAUUGAAAACCAAAAAUCAUUUAUGCUUUCUUGACUUAAUCAUUUCUGAUAUAUCUUGAUUGCUAGCAUCACACCUGAUUGGAUUGAUACCUAUUGUACUGCAAUGACAUGAUAGUACUCUAGGGUAAUUGAUAGAAAAAUCCUAGUAUCAAUUUGGCGCCGCUGCCAUUUGGGUGUUUGUGUGUUACAUUUGAGAUUUCAGACUUGCUAAGAUCAAGUUUUUACUCAACAUUCACUACAGUUACUCACUCUGUUCCUUCUGUUUGUCUAUUGAUUCAGGUACAACUCUUGCUCAACUGCUCCUACUCGACUGACACACUCAACCGAUAAGAAAGAUAAGCUGAUUUGAGUUGUAUGCACACACGGUCGCAAGGCACAGAGAACUUGUUCCAGCCCUCCGACCGUAUUGAUCGCUUGGUACCUGCAUCACGACAGCAACGCAACAGAGUUACACCACCCCAAGUGGAGAUGGAAAACAUUCCACCACCACAACCACCACGGGCACCUACACGGAUUGGAGCUGGUGAUGCUCCACGCAACCAUACCCAUCGUCAGGGUAUAGUGCCUCCAGCCGUGGCGAACAACAACUUUGAGAUCAAGAGUGGUCUGAUCUCCAUGGUCCAGCAGAAUAAAUUUCAUGGUCUGCCUAUGGAAGACCCCCUGGAUCACCUUGAUGAGUUUGAUCGUCUCUGCAGUCUCACCAAGAUCAAUGGGGUCAGUGAGGACGGUUUCAAGCUACGUCUCUUUCCAUUCUCUUUGGGUGACAAAGCUCAUCAAUGGGAGAAAACUCUUCCUCCAGGAUCUAUCACUUCCUGGGAUCAAUGCAAGCAGUCGUUUCUUGCCAAGUUUUUCUCCAACUCUAGAACUGCACGUCUGCGCAAUGAGAUCUCUGGGUUCACUCAGAAGAAUGGUGAAACGCUUUGUGAAGCCUGGGAACGCUUCAAAAGUUAUCAGUCUCAGUGUCCCCACCAUGGUUUCACCAAGGAGUCUCUCCUCAGUACUCUUUACCGGGGUGUUCUCCCAAAGAUCCGGAUGUUGCUUGACACUGCCAGCAAUGGCAACUUUCUGAACAAGGACGUUGACGAAGGUUGGGAGCUUGUUGAAAACCUAUCCCAAUCUGAUGGCAACUACAAUGACGAUUAUGAUAGAACCAUCAGGGCAAGCACAGAUCUUGAUGAGAAGUACAAGAAGGAGAUGAAGGUUGUGAAUGACAAGUUGGACAAGCUAUUGAUGAGCCAGCAGAGGAACAUCCAUUACGUCUCUGAAGACGACCCUUUCCAGACUCUGAAUGGGGAGGGAGAACAAUCUGAGGAGAUAAGCUAUGUCCAGAACCAAGGUGGAUACAAUAAGGGAUACAAUCCUUAUAAGCAGAAUCCAAAUCUGUCCUAUCGGAGCACCAAUGUUGCAAACCCCCAGGAUCAGGUUUAUCCACCUCCACAACAGCAGCAGCAGGGGCAGAACAAACCAUUUGUGCCCUACAACCAAGGUUAUGUGCCCAAACAACAAUUUCAGCAAGGUUACCAACCUCCAGCAGGACCACCACCAGGAUUCCAACCUCAACAUGCUCCGCCUCCUCAGGCACCAGAUCAAGACAUGAAAAACAUGCUUCAGCAACUCCUACAGGGACAAGCAAGUGGCUCCAUGGACAAUGCUAAGAAGUUUGCUGAGCUGACUCAGAGAUUGGACUGCUCAUACAAUGAUCUGAACAUGAAGAUUGAGACUCUGAAUUCCAAGAUCAAGUAUAUGGAGGGUAAAACUGCUUCUACUUCUGCCCCAAAGCCGGGUCAACUCCCAGGAAAAGCUGUUCAGAAUCCUAAGGAGUUUGCUCAUGCCAUCACGCUGAGGAGCGGUAAAAACUUGCCUCCCAGACAAGGACCUGUUGUAGUCACUGAGGACAGUGAAGACUUGGAAGGGGAGGAUGUAUGUCAGAAUGAAGAUCCGGUUGUUCCUUUGGAAGAAUCAGGAGUCGUACCUGAAGAAGUUCCUCAACCUGCUGAGAAACAUGCUGAAACACCUGCAGCAUCCAAGGAUAAGCCUGCGCGAUACGUUCCCCCACCAUACAAACCACCUCUACCAUUUCCAGGACGAUUCAAAAAGCAGCAAGCUGAGAAGUAUAAGGCUUUAUUUGAAAAGCAAUUGAGAGAGAUUGAGUUGAGAAUGCCAUUGCUGGAUGCAUUCGCACUUGUCCCUCCUUAUCAGAAGUUCCUCAAAGAUUUGGUUAUGGAGAGAACAAAAGAAGUCCAGGGAAUGGUGAUAUUGAGUCAUGAAUGCAGUGCCAUUAUCCAGAAGAAGAUCACUCCCUUGAAGCUUAAAGAUCCUGGAUCUUUCACACUACCCUGCUCACUAGGCCCCCUAUCUUUCAGCAGAUGCUUAUGUGAUCUUGGAGCUNNNNNNNNNNNNNNNNNNNNNNNNNNNNNNNNNNNNNNNNNNNNNNNNNNNNNNNNNNNNNNNNNNNNNNNNNNNNNNNNNNNNNNNNNNNNNNNNNNNNNNNNNNNNNNNNNNNNNNNNNNNNNNNNNNNNNNNNNNNNNNNNNNNNNNNNNNNNNNNNNNNNNNNNNNNNNNNNNNNNNNNNNNNNNNNNNNNNNNNNNNNNNNNNNNNNNNNNNNAUUCCUAGCCACUGCUGGAGCUAUCAUUGAUGUUAAGAAGGGGAAGAUAGACUUAUGCUUGGGAGAAGACUUCAAGAUGACAUUUGACAUCAAGGAGUCUAUGAAGAAACCAACAAUCAAUGGCAAGGUGUUCUGGAUAGAGGAGAUGGAUCAGCUAGCUGAUGAACUUUUAGAAGAACUUGCUGAGGAGGAUCAUCUCAAGACAGCCUUGACAAAGAGUGGAUCAGAUGGAUUUCUUCAUGCUGAGACCAAGGUCUACGAAACGUUACUGGAUACCUACAAGGCAACUGAUGAUUCAGAACGUUUUGAGGAAUUGGAUAAGUCUGUCAAGGAGGUAUGCACAGUAGAGGAGGAAGUCAGUGGCAGCCCGAUGACUCACCAUGCUGUUGAUCCUGUCAAUGCGGUUGAUGAUGACUGGUCAGAGUUAAAAGCUCCCAAGGUUGAGCUCAAACCGCUACCCUCAGGACUGAGGUAUGUAUUCCUUGGAUCCAACUCUACUUAUCCUGUCAUUGUGAAUGCUAGCUUGAGUAAUGAGGAAUUAGAGUUGCUAGUCACUGAGCUUAGAAAAUAUAGAAGGGCCAUAGGUUAUUCCUUAGAUGAUAUCAAGGGGAUCUCACCUAGUCUCUGCAUGCAUAGGAUUAAUCUGGAAAAUGAAUCAUACUCUAGUAUUGAACCUCAAAGGAGAUUGAAUCCUAACCUUAAGGAAGUUGUGAAAAAAGAAAUUCUUAAACUGUUGAAUGCUGGGGUUAUCUAUCCUAUCUCUGAUAGUACUUGGGUAUCCCCAGUGCAUUGCGUACCUAAGAAAGGAGGGAUUACAGUGAUAAAAAAUGAAAAAGAUGAAUUGAUCCCCACUAGGACUAUCACUGGCCAUAGGAUGUGCAUUGAUUACAGAAAACUGAAUGCUGCAUCUAGGAAAGAUCAUUUCCCGCUUCCUUUCAUUGAUCAAAUGUUAGAACGAUUAGCCAAUCAUCCCUACUACUGUUUCCUUGAUGGGUAUAGCGGAUUUUUCCAAAUCCCUAUCCACCCAAAUGAUCAGGAAAAGACUACGUUCACUUGUCCAUAUGGCACAUUUGCCUACAGACGCAUGCCUUUUGGUUUGUGUAAUGCACCUGCAACAUUUCAGAGGUGUAUGACCUCUAUAUUCUCGGAUUUGAUAGAGGAGAUGGUGGAGGUGUUCAUGGAUGAUUUUUCCGUGUAUGGCUCCUCCUUCUCCUCAUGUUUGUUAAAUCUCUGCAGGGUAUUAGCAAGAUGUGAGGAGACAAGCCUGGUGCUCAACUGGGAGAAGUGUCACUUCAUGGUGAACGAAGGGAUAGUGUUGGGACACAAGGUAUCAGAGAAAGGGAUUGAGGUUGAUAAGGCAAAGAUUGAGGUCAUGGUGCAGUUGCAGCCUCCCAAGUCAGUNNNNNNNNNNNNNNNNNNNNNNNNNNNNNNNNNNNNNNNNNNNNNNNNNNNNNNNNNNNNNNNNNNNNNNNNNNNNNNNNNNNNNNNNNNNNNNNNNNNNAAGAUUCAUCAAGGACUUCUCAAAAAUUGCAAGACCCCUUACAAGACUGCUGUGCAAGGAGGUCGAGUUUGUUGUUGAUGAGAGCUGUCUGGAAGCUUUCAACAAGAUCAAGGAAGCGUUAGUCUCAGCACCAAUAGUCCAAGCUCCAGACUGGGAUCAUCCUUUUGAGAUAAUGUGUGAUGCCUCAGAUUAUGCAGUAGGGGCUGUGUUGGGACAGCGAAUAGAGAAGAAACUGCAUGUCAUCUACUAUGCGAGCAGAACCCUUGAUGAGACACAAGGGAGAUAUGCAACAACAGAGAAAGAGCUCUUGGCUGUAGUCUUUGCGUUUGAGAAAUUCAGAAGUUACUUGGUGGGAUCAAAAGUGGUAGUCUACACAGACCAUGCUGCGCUUAGACAUAUAUACUCCAAGAAGGAUACCAAACCAAGACUGCUGAGAUGGAUACUUCUACUCCAGGAGUUUGAUAUGGAGAUUGUUGACAAGAAGGGGAUAGAGAACGGCGUUGCUGAUCACCUGUCCAGAAUGAGAAUAGAAGAUCCAAUCCCUAUUGAUGACUCUAUGCCUGAAGAACAUCUCAUGGUUGUUGAGAUAUGCAAGAAGAUGCAUCAAACAGGAAUGGCUAUGAAGGAGCUUCAAUGUCUAGCAGUCAAUUCAGAGAGUAUGCCUUGGUAUGCGGAUGUGGUUAACUACAAAGUCUGUGGAGAGAUUCCUGCAGACAUGGAUCCUUAUAGGAAAAAGAAGUUUUUCAGAGAUGUCAACCACUACUUCUGGGAUGAACCUUACCUGUACAAGAGGGGUUCAGAUGGACUGUUUAGGAGAUGCAUAGCAGAAGGAGAAGUACAGGGAGUACUUGAGCACUGUCAUGGAUCCACAUAUGGAGGACACUUCGCUACAUUCAAGACAGUUCAGAAGGUUCUGCAAGCAGGCCUUUGGUGGCCAACGUUGUUCAAGGAUACAAACAGUUUCAUCACCAAGUGUGACGCCUGCCAGAGGAUGGGUAACAUCAACAGAAGGAAUGAGAUGCCUCAGAACCCGAUUUUGGAAGUAGAAAUUUUUGAUGUUUGGGGAAUUGAUUUCAUGAGACCGUUCAACCCUCCAUCAAACGGCAAUGCCUACAUUCUGGUCGCAGUUGAUUAUGUUUCAAAAUGGGUUGAAGCCAUUGCAAGUCCCACCAACGAUCAUAAGGUUGUUCUGAAACUGUUCAAGAGCAUCAUCUUUCCCAGGUAUGGAGUACCGAGAGCAGUGAUCAGUGAUGGUGGUACACACUUCAUCAACAAGGUUUUUGAAAGCAUGUUGAAGAAGUAUGGUGUGAAGCAUAAGGUGUCUACAGCCUACCAUCUCCAGACAUGUGGACAAGUUGAGGUCUCCAACAAGCAGAUAAAAGGAAUCUUGUCAAGAGUUGUUGGGGCUUCGAAGAGAGAUUGGUCUACCAAGUUGGAUGACACUCUAUGGGCGUAUAGGACAGCUUUCAAGACACCAAUAGGAAGAACGCCUUUUCAGUUGGUGUAUGGUAAAGCAUGUCAUCUCCCUGUGGAGAUUGAGUAUAAGGCGCUUUGGGCUAUCAAGCUUCUGAACUUGGACAUUGAUGCAGCGCAGGCAAAGAGAGUUCUUGACAUCCAUGAACUUGAGGAAAUCAGACUUGAUGCCUUCGAGAGUUCCAAAAUCUAUAAGGAGAGAACCAAGGCUUUUCAUGAUAAGAAGAUUGUCGUUAAGGAGCUUAAGGCUGGAGAUCACGUCUUGCUGUUCAAUUCCAGACUAAAACUGUUCCCUGGAAAGCUCAAGUCUAGAUGGUCUGGACCAUUUGAAAUCAAAGAUGUUUUGCCAUUUGGUGCGAUCACUCUUCUGAACAAAGAUGGCAGCGAGUUCACUGUGAACGGUCAACGUGUCAAGCGUUACCUAGCUGAUCAAGAGACACCAGAGGGGUCCUCCAUACCUCUCUAUGAGCCCCCCAAAGCCUAAAAGGCAUAAAAGUCAAGCUUAGUGACUUUAAACAAGCUCACUUGUGAGGAAGUCCCAAAGGUAUCCCUGUACAUAUGUUUUAGGAUUUUUUUUUGUGUUUUUGAUUUUUGUUUUUGGUUUUCUGUUGGUCAGGAUUUCAGAUAGAAGGAGUAAUGCAAAACAGAGUGAGGUGGGGAUACAGAAUCGAGUACGAUAAGUGAAAAAUAUAGAAGGGGGGAGUUAAUUAUUUGGGAGUGAUUGAGUUGAGUUUAAAAAAAAAAAAAAAAAAAAAAAAAAAAAAAAAAAAAAAAAAAAAAAAAAAAAAAAAAAAAAAAAACUCACUCGACACACCCAAACCACACAUACCUUAUCUUCACUCGACCUAAUCACUCUCUCAUCACCCUCACUCGAUUUCAUCACUCAACCAUUUUCACUCCUUUCAUCGAUUUCAUCACAUCCUUUCUCUCAUCUCUCUCUCACUCGACUAUAUCCUCUCAACCUUCACUCGAUUAAGAGCUCGCCGUGACCGACGCUUGACUCACUCGACGGAAGCUUCACCACUCGACCAACCGUCGGAGCAUCCUGUUCACUCGACCGUGUUCACUCGAGCUCGCCGAUUCUCCAUCUCUCGCCUCUUCACUCGACCGACAAGUCAAACCACCGUCCUGUUUCUCGCUUCACUCCACGGACUCCACUCGACCCACCAUCUCAUCACCACCACCACUCGAGCUCCAUCCCCAACCGACAAGUACUCGACCCACGUUGUCUUCACCGGUGCUACUCGACCGGAUAGCUUCACUCGACGGUAACGCGCUCGACUCUCACUCGUUCCGCUCCGCCACCCGACCACCGGAGAUAUCAUAAGAAGCCGUCGACGCUAUCCACGCUCCGACUCACUCGACCGAACUACUCGGGCACCUUACUCGACCGUUCAAGACACAACUGGUUCACUCGACCGGGCACUCAUUUGCUCACUCGACCGAGAGUGAUAAGCGUUUGUAUCUCCACUCAUUUCUUUUGCAUUUGCUCAUUUUUCUUAGCUUUUGGAACACUAACAAACUAAUUUUUAGUUUUGAGUUCCAAUUGUUUCAGUUUCACAAUGUCAAGAGAUUUGUUGCAUGAAAUGCGUGAGAAGUAUGGUUGUAAACCAACAGAGCGUGCAUCCCCUCAGUCUAUGUCCAAGGUUUAUAUGGAGAAGAAGAAAGCUGCAUAUGAGAGAGCGUCUGGUGUUGGUCCUUCUCAGGCAAGAAGCAGAGCUAAGUCUUCGGGUAAGAAACCAAUGGAGCUGCAGGAUGAUGAUAGUGAUUAUGAGCUUGAAGAGCAUCCACCUGUCCCAGCUCGCAAGUCAGCGCCGAAGAAGAAGGCAGAGAAGUGGUUAGCCCCAGGAGAGUAUUACAAGCUGUUUCAGCAGCAUGAGUUUCAGGGCACGAGGUAUCCUUGCCAGCAGACGAUGGAUGAGCUGGCUAUCUCGAGUGAUGUCGAGUAUAUGUUCGAGCAUUGUCAUCUCAGCACACUCAUGACUAGUCCGCGAAAUACAUACCGAGAGGAGACAAUUCAGUUCCUCUGCACGCUUGCCAUUCAUCUGUAUGAGGAUGAUCCGGACAUAGAGUCGGAUGGAGGAUUGGGAUACAUCACCUUCACCAUCCAUGAUCAUGAGUAUCUUCUGACCAUCAGAGAGCUGGAAGGUUUGUUUGGAUUCCCUAAUGGAACAGGGACUGGGCAGAGGAUUGAUAGGGAUGAAUUGUUAGCUCUUUGGGAAACAAUUGGGAAUGAUAAGAAGUUCGCUUCAUCUAGGACCAAGAGCAACCACAUCAGAAGUCCAGUUAUCCGCUACUUCCAUCGAUCAGUUGCAAACGUGUUCUUCGCGAGGGAGACAACAGGGACACUGAUCAACGGGGAGCUGGAGAUGAUUGAUCUUGCACUUAAAGAUCUCUUGUUAACAGCAGUAGAUGGGACACUACUGCGAGGUGAUACGACUGAUACAUCCCCCUCGUUCACUCUGUUGCACCAGCUACUCAGUUACAGAACUUGGGUAGUGAAGCUGAGCAGCUGCAGAACUCAGGGAGUUAUGUGUAUGGGAGGGUUGGUGACAGUCAUCUUAGAAGCUUGUAGCGUCCCGCUGAGUUCAGAGCCUAUUGCACCGAGAUUCAUCGACAUUCAGAACUUGAGGCAAGCUCAAUGGUUGCAUUGGGAGAAACGCAACGGGUUGUAUAUGUAUUACUUCACUCACCCCGUACAUGGUGACGUGCGAUUUUUGCUUCCUUGUAUCGCUUUCACUAGGAUACUCGAAGGAAGCAACAUUGAGUUUACUCCCCCUGCAGAGGCUCUCUACACGACAGAUGGUGAGGAAGCAAUGGAGGUAUCUGAGAAAGAGGAUGACGAGAUGGAAGAAGAUUCAGAUGAGUAUAGACCAGAGAGGUAUCACUUCCAGGACUACACAGCGCCUAGACAAGGCAAGAGUUUGGUGGAAGCUCACAAGCGUAUCAGUACACUUCAGAAGUGGAACAUGCUGCAAGACAAGGCAAUAAAAUCUAUGAAAUCGAAGAUGAAAAGCUUCAUGAGUAAGUUUAGCUGCGCCUCCACCACCACAGCUUUUGCAGACACUACUCCGCAGGAUGCNNNNNNNNNNNNNNNNNNNNNNNNNNNNNNNNNNNNNNNNNNNNNNNNNNNNNNNNNNNNNNNNNNNNNNNNNNNNNNNNNNNNNNNNNNNNNNNNNNNNNNNNNNNNNNNNNNNNNNNNNNNNNNNNNNNNNNNNNNNNNNNNNNNNNNNNNNNNNNNNNNNNNNNNNNNNNNNNNNNNNNNNNNNNNNNNNNNNNNNNNNNNNNNNNNNNNNNNNNNNNNNNNNNNNNNNNNNNNNNNNNNNNNNNNNNNNNNNNNNNNNNNNNNNNNNNNNNNNNNNNNNNNNNNNNNNNNNNNNNNNNNNNNNNNNNNNNNNNNNNNNNNNNNNNNNNNNNNNNNNNNNNNNNNNNNNNNNNNNNNNNNNNNNNNNNNNNNNNNNNNNNNNNNNNNNNNNNNNNNNNNNNNNNNNNNNNNNNNNNNNNNNNNNNNNNNNNNNNNNNNNNNNNNNNNNNNNNNNNNNNNNNNNNNNNNNNNNNNNNNNNNNNNNNNNNNNNNNNNNNNNNNNNNNNNNNNNNNNNNNNNNNNNNNNNNNNNNNNNNNNNNNNNNNNNNNNNNNNNNNNNNNNNNNNNNNNNNNNNNNNNNNNNNNNNNNNNNNNNNNNNNNNNNNNNNNNNNNNNNNNNNNNNNNNNNNNNNNNNNNNNNNNNNNNNNNNNNNNNNNNNNNNNNNNNNNNNNNNNNNNNNNAAAACAGAGUGAUCAUGUAGCUUGCAUUUGCAUAUUAGGAUUGAGUCUAGAUUGUUUCAUGUAGGACUGUUGCAUUAGCAUAGGGGGCGAUGAUGAGUUACACCUUGUUGAUUUGCUAUGAUUCACCAGUUGAGAUCAAUGCCCUGGUUGUUAGCUUUUUGAUGCAUGAUGAUUGAACUUGAAGUAAGUCUGAAACAAACUUGGAAUUCAUGAAGAGCAUUCUUGAACUUGGUUGAAACAUGUUGUGAUAUGAUCUCAUUCCUUAUCCUAUAAGAACUUAAUCUUGAUUUGCAAAUAUCUGGUUGUGUUUUGCUUGCAUGCUCAUGGUCACCAUAUACAUAUUUGGAUCAUCUUCCUCCUUUCACCACUCUUGUUGAUCCAAGUAGCUGAUCUUUCUUUUGAUCAGUUUGCCACACCCACAGCCUAUCCUUUUCUUUCAAGCCAAUUGAUAAUUUUUGAGUGGUAGGUCUUUUACCGGAUUAUGCUUGGGGAGAACGUGUUAGGUAUGAGCCGACAGGAUUAAAAUCUUGAGUAGUUCUGAUUUUCACUUUCAAAUCAGAUAGGACUAGGUCGGGGUUCUUACUUGGGUUUGGGAUUGGAAUGAUUGUGGAAAGAAAGAAGAGAAACAGAAAAAGUUGUAUCCUUAGGAGGAGAAUGUUUUCUAGAAGUUUAUAAUCUAGUGAUUGAUUUUCGUGGGGUUAGCAUGAUAUACAGAGAAUGGUUCUGGGAUGUUAAGAAAGAGAAAAAGUUUUGAUGUCUUAUAACGUAAGAAGAAAACAGAACCAUAGUUAAGAAGAAAUCCCCUAUCCACUAGUAUUGAUAAGAAACUUCUCCUAAGGCAAAAAUCAAAAAGAAAAAAAAUGGGAUUGAUGUUGAAGGGUAGACAUAGGGAUCAUCCGGGUUUAGAUGAUUAGGAGUAAGCACUUGGGAACCAUUGGGUAGUCAAGGUUUUAUUCCUGUAUGCAUUUGUUGGUCCUUACCUUUAGCAUUCUCCCUAAAGCUCAAUCCAUUUAUUGAGAGAUCCUUGUCCUGAAAUUGUUUAAACCCUCAUGAUUCUCAAAACCUUUUUCUGCCCAGCCAAGUGAGUUUGUUAAGCCUUGCACAACCGGAUUCAUAUACUUGAAUAAUGAAUGUUAAAAGGAAUGAAUGAUUUGAAUGCAUGUGUAGAUCAAGGGAUAGAAUCAGUUUCAGAUUUGAUGAGUUUGUCUAAAGUCGUUAAGUAAAGUUUUCUCAGCAUGCAUCAAAGACUUAGCAACCAGGACAUUGAUUUUAACUGCUCUAUCUUGCAAGUUACAGGUUCUGAGACCCAUUUUCAAACCUCUCUUCCACUUUGUUUCUUUUUGUUUUGCUUGAGGGCAAGCAAAGACUAAGUUUGGGGGAGUUGAUAAGUCUGUAUUUCAUUGCUUUUUGAGUAUGCAUUCAUCAUCUAUUCAGCAUCAUUCACUUGUUGAUUCGCAUCAUAUUGAUCCCUUUCUGCAUGUUUUACAUACUUAGGUAGGUUUUAUGCAUAUCAUGCAUAUCAUGCAUAUCUUGCAUACAUUGUCCAUAUUUGGAGUGUUUCAGGUACUUAGGAGACAUGCAGGGCGAAGCAGAGGAACAAGCGUUACUCGACAUGCACACGAUCGAGUGGGACGAUCGAGUGAGAAGCAUGGAUGCGUUGCAGUUACAUUGACGUUCGAGUGAGCAGCAGACGUAUACGAUCGAGUGGCAGAUCGAGCAGAAGGGAAGCGAAGCAGAACUACCUGUCACUCGAUGCACUCACUCGAGUGACAUGAUCGAGCAAAGCAAAGAAGUAGCUGAUGGUUUUACAGGUCACUCGACCCACUCACUCGAGUGACACGAUCGAGAAAGCAGAGAAGAUGGUCACUCGAGGUGCUCACUCGACCAACUUAGUCAAAACAACCUUUGAACCGCUUUUACGUUGUCGUUUUAUGUUUUAAGGUUUUCCCAAACAUUGUUAUAAAUAGGCUUCAUUUGGAUUGCCC